rnacentral:rRNA from 1 species
GACAGAGGGUGCAAACGUUGUUCGGAAUUAUUGGGCGUAAAGGGCGCGUAGGCGGCUGUGCAAGUCGAAUGUGAAAUCCCGGGGCUUAACCCCGGAAGUGCAUUCGAAACUGCAUAGCUUGAGUCCCGGAGAGGGUGGUGGAAUUCCCAGUGUAGAGGUGAAAUUCGUAGAUAUUGGGAGGAACACCAGUGGCGAAGGCGACCACCUGGACGGAGACUGACGCUGAGGCGCGAGAGCGUGGGUAGCAAACAGG